AUUGAACGCUGGCGGCAGGCCUAACACAUGCAAGUCGAACGAGUGGCGGACGGGUGAGUAAUGUCUGGGAAACUGCCUGAUGGAGGGGGAUAACUACUGGAAACGGUAGCUAAUACCGCAUACCAUCAGAUGUGCCCAGAUGGGAUUAGCUAGUAGGUGGGGUAACGGCUCACCUAGGCGACGAUCCCUAGCUGGUCUGAGAGGAUGACCAGCCACACGGGAACUGAGACACGGUCCAGACUACUACGGGAGGCAGCAGUGGGGAAUAUUGCACAAUGGGCGCAAGCCUGAUGCAGCAAUGCCGCGUGAAUGAAGAAGGCCUUCGGGUUGUAAAGUACUGUCAGCGGGGAGGCGUUACCCGAAGAAGAAGCACCGGAGAACUCCGUGCCAGCAGCCGCGGUAAUAC
rnacentral:rRNA from 1 species